ACACGUGAAAGGAGGUGUUCCGAAAAGUGAUUUCUUCUCGGACUCGUGAGGUGGCUGCGGGCUGACGCCCGUUGCCGCGUUCUUCGCAGUGCAGGCCGGUCAUCGGCCAAUACCAAGCAGUCACCGACCCGCAGGCUCGCCGGUAAGUCCGGCCGGCUCCUCCGUGAGGAGGGACCAGAGCCUGCGGGUUUCUGCGU
rnacentral:sRNA from 1 species